rnacentral:rRNA from 1 species
CUGGGACUGAGACACGGCCCAGACUCCUACGGGAGGCAGCAGUGGGGAAUAUUGCACAAUGGGCGCAAGCCUGAUGCAGCGACGCCGCGUGAGGGAUGACGGCCUUCGGGUUGUAAACCUCUUUCAGCAGGGAAGAAGCGCAAGUGACGGUACCUGCAGAAGAAGCGCCGGCUAACUACGUGCCAGCAGCCGCGGUAAUACGUAGGGCGCAAGCGUUGUCCGGAAUUAUUGGGCGUAAAGAGCUCGUAGGCGGCUUGUCGCGUCGGAUGUGAAAGCCCGGGGCUUAACUCCGGGUCUGCAUUCGAUACGGGCAGGCUAGAGUUCGGUAGGGGAGAUCGGAAUUCCUGGUGUAGCGGUGAAAUGCGCAGAUAUCAGGAGGAACACCGGUGGCGAAGGCGGAUCUCUGGGCCGAUACUGACGCUGAGGAGCGAAAGCGUGGGGAGCGAACAGGAUUAGAUACCCUGGUAGUCCACGCCGUAAACGUUGGGAACUAGGUGUGGGCGACAUUCCACGUUGUCCGUGCCGCAGCUAACGCAUUAAGUUCCCCGCCUGGGGAGUACGGCCGCAAGGCUAAAACUCAA